CAGGACGAACGCUGGCGGCGUGCUUCAUACAUGCAAGUCGAACGAUAAGGUCUCUUCGGAGAUACAUAAGUGGCGGACGGGUGAGUAGAAUGUAGAGAAUCUGCCCUAGAGAGGGGGACAACAGAGGGAAACUUCUGCUAAUACCCCAUAUGAGCGUAGCUGAGAUGCUAUUCUUGAAAACUCCGGUGCUCUGGGAUGAGUCUGCAUCUGAUUAGCUAGUUGGGGGUGUAAUGGACCACCAAGGCGACGAUCAGUAGCUGGUUUGAGAGGAUGAUCAGCCACAAUGGGACUGAGACACGGCCCAUACUCCUACGGGAGGCAGCAGUAGGGAAUUUUGCGCAGUGGGGGAAACCCUGAACCGCAGCAACGCCGCGUGACCGAUGAAGCCCUUCGGGGUGUAAAGGUCUGUCAGUGGGGACGAAACUUGACGGUACCCACAGAGGAAGCAUCGGCUAACUCCGUGCCAGCCGCCGC
rnacentral:rRNA from 1 species